UGCAGUCGAGCGGACAGAUGGGAGCUUGCUCCCUGAUGUUAGCGGCGGACGGGUGAGUAACACGUGGGUAACCUGCCUGUAAGACUGGGAUAACUCCGGGAAACCGGGGCUAAUACCGGAUGGUUGUUUGAACCGCAUGGUUCAGACAUAAAAGGUGGCUUCGGCUACCACUUACAGAUGGACCCGCGGCGCAUUAGCUAGUUGGUGAGGUAACGGCUCACCAAGGCAACGAUGCGUAGCCGACCUGAGAGGGUGAUCGGCCACACUGGGACUGAGACACGGCCCAGACUCCUACGGGAGGCAGCAGUAGGGAAUCUUCCGCAAUGGACGAAAGUCUGACGGAGCAACGCCGCGUGAGUGAUGAAGGUUUUCGGAUCGUAAAGCUCUGUUGUUAGGGAAGAACAAGUGCCGUUCAAAUAGGGCGGCACCUUGACGGUACCUAACCAGAAAGCCACGGCUAACUACGUGCCAGCAGCCGCGGUAAUACGUAGGUGGCAAGCGUUGUCCGGAAUUAUUGGGCGUAAAGGGCUCGCAGGCGGUUUCUUAAGUCUGAUGUGAAAGCCCCCGGCUCAACCGGGGAGGGUCAUUGGAAACUGGGGAACUUGAGUGCAGAAGAGGAGAGUGGAAUUCCACGUGUAGCGGUGAAAUGCGUAGAGAUGUGGAGGAACACCAGUGGCGAAGGCGACUCUCUGGUCUGUAACUGACGCUGAGGAGCGAAAGCGUGGGGAGCGAACAGGAUUAGAUACCCUGGUAGUCCACGCCGUAAACGAUGAGUGCUAAGUG
rnacentral:rRNA from 1 species